GAUGAACGCUGGCGGCGUGCCUAAUACAUGCAAGUCGAGCGAACAGACGAGGAGCUUGCUCCUUUGACGUUAGCGGCGGACGGGUGAGUAACACGUGGGUAACCUACCUAUAAGACUGGGAUAACUUCGGGAAACCGGAGCUACUACCGGCUAAUAUUUCGAACCGCAUGGUUCGAUAGUGAAAGAUGGCUUUGCUAUCACUUAUAGAUGGACCUGCGCCGUAUUAGCUAGUUGGUAAGGUAACGGCGUACCAAGGCAACGAUACGUAGCCGACCUGAGAGGGUGAUCGGCCACACUGGAACUGAGACACGGUCCAGACUCCUACGGGAGGCAGCAGUAGGGAAUCUUCCGCAAUGGGCGAAAGCCUGACGGAGCAACGCCGCGUGAGUGAUGAAGGUCUUCGGAUCGUAAAACUCUGUUAUUAGGGAAGAACAAACGUGUAAGUAACUGUGCACGUCUUGACGGUACCUAAUCAGAAAGCCACGGCUAACUACGUG
rnacentral:rRNA from 1 species